UACGAGGGGUGCAAACGUCAUUCGGAAUUACUGGGCGUAAAGGGUGCGUAGACGGCGAAACAAGUCAAUUAUUAAAUCUCUCGGCUCAACUGAGAGUCUGUGGUUGAAACUGUUUUGCUAGAGGAUGGAAGAGAGAAGUGGAAUUCUCGGAGUAGCGGUAAAAUGCGUAGAUCUCGAGAGGAACACCGAUGGCGAAGGCAGCUUCUUGGUCCAUUUCUGACGUUGAUGCACGAAAGCGUGGGGAGCAAACAGG
rnacentral:rRNA from 1 species